rnacentral:lncRNA from 1 species
UUUUUUUUUUUUUUGUCUCAGAAGUUGAAUUGGGAAUGGGAAACCACCAGGCACAGAAACACACCUUUUCUGUCCUGCUUUCUUGGUGGUGUGUCCUCAUGGGCUGCUCUCAUUCCAGACUUGGCCUGGACUCUGGUCACAGUGCCAGACAGCACUAGGUGGGGCUUGCAGAUCCCAGGGGGUGGUGGUCCUGACCUGGCAGCAGGGACUCGCAGAGUGUCGCAGGCUGUCUCCAGGCCUGUACUGGGUUGGGGAGUUCAGAGGUAUGGAUGAGGCCAAGGCUACCCCAAGGAGCUGAGACUAACCCUGCAAGUCAAGAACAUGCACUGUGUACCCAGGGCCCUACCCAUGUCGACCCUCAAGAAAUGACUAUGACGUCAUUGGCAGGCCGAAUGCCACUGGGGGGUGCCUGGGGUACUAAUUCUAAGCCAAAAGAAUCCGGGAGUACUUUGUUUCCAGCAUCUGUCUGUUGAGCGCCAACUGGGCAACCAAGAACUGUGAUGAUUGUUCUCCCCUGUACAGCUCAGGAAUGGUCCCAAGGGCCAAGCUAGCCUGAGAGAAACCCCACAGUAGAUUAAUGGAUGUAGAGGGGGCGAAGGCUGAGGUCUGACUUAGUUGGCAGUGGAAGGGGAACAUUUCUUCCAGUGGGUACCAAGGAGCUCGGUACUCUGGGGAGACCAGAGUGUCAGCCCUUUAGUGCGACGAGCAGGGCAGCUCUGUCCGCUUCGAUGGAAGGCUGUGUCCUGGGGCCUUGGGAGGGGUUCAGGCAAGGCCUCAUCAAGGUGUCUCAGGAGCUGAAGCCUGAAAAAGAAGUAGGGAUUUACUGAACAGACUGGAAACAGGGAGGGUGUUCCAGGUGGAAAGCAGCAGGAGCUGGGACGAGAACGUGAGAAAGCUUGUGUGUUCUGGCAAGUGCCAGGUGGAGGGCAAGUGGGAAGGGGUAGGAUUGAGCCUCGGGAGCCAGCUCCACUGGGGGGGGGGGCACGUGGGGGGAGAAGACAGCUGGAGCAGGACUGGUAGACGUGGAGAAGACCAUGUGAGGGCACAGGAGCAGGGGCAACGCCGAGGUGGAGAGAGAGAGAGAGAGAGCGCCAGCACAAGUGUGGGGGGUGGGGGAGAGGCAGAGGGAGAAGCAGACCCCCCAUUGAGCAGGGAGCCCAACAUAGGGCUUGAUCCCAGGAGCCUGAGAUCAUGACCUGAGCUGAAGGCCAUUGCUUAACCAACUGAGCCACCCAGGCGCCCCGAUUCCUGCUUCUUUUUAAAAAAUUAUUUUGGAACCAUUUUAAACAUGGAGAAAAGUGGAUGAGUCUGAUGUCCUUGACCCUCCUGAAGGUAACAGAGGAUGCGCCUUAGCCUCGGUUUGUCCAAGCUUCCUCCUGAUUUGAUUCAGGAUAUGCUCUGGUGGUGAUGUCACAUUAGUGCUGUCAUCUUCUUAUGUGUCCACUGGGUGGCCCGUGAUGUUUAUUGGUCCUAUUACAGGUGAUAAUGUUGAUCAUCUGAGUAAGGUGGCGCCUGCGAGGUUUCUCUGCUGUAAAGUUUUUUUUCCUCCUUUGUAAUUAAUAACUAUUUUGUGUGGAAUCACUAUGAAACAAUGUAAAUACACGGUUCUGUAUCCCACUUUCACCAUGAUGUUCACCACCUGUUUAUGCCUCUUGGCUGAGUAGCUUUAAUCAUUGCAAAAUGGUCAUUUCUUUAUUUUCAUUAUUUCUGCUACAUGUAUUAGUUGGCAUUCUAUUAUAAUAGCUUUCCCCUCAAUCUGUUUAGUUGUAUCUGUGUGGGCUCAUGGAUUCGUAUUUUUUUCAGUGAAUUAUAAUCUAUUAUUGUCAUUUAUUUUAAGGCCCAAACUAUUGGCUGGUGAGAGCGCCUUCAAACUAGCUUCUGUGUUCCUUCUUUUUGGCAUCUCCCCAUCGUUCUCUGAGGCCUGCCUUCAAAACAAAAUGUUCUGGGCUUGCCUUGUACUUUCCCUGGAACCAGACAUUUCUCCAGGAUUCUGUUUACUGGAGAAUGGUGUUUAGAAGCCAACAUCUAGGUAUAAGGGGUGCUUAUUGUUCCGAGCUGUUGCUGCUCCUGGACUCUCUCUCAGUAGAUCCUACAUGUAUAUUUAUUUCUGUCUCUGAAUAUGAUGAACCUGGAGUUACCACCAGUAGUGCCGACUUGUAUUUAAUGCCACGAGGUUCAUUCGGGCUCUCCCCUCUUCCUAUUUGUUCUCCCUCCUGUCAGUGAGAAACACGUUACAUUAUCCCUAGUUUAUUUUCCUGUUUGCUCCAUCCCCUGCAUGUGGCCAACCUUCUGACCCCUUUGGCCUGCCUCUGUCACCAUGCUCUGAGGCUAUUCUCACACAGGCCACAAUUACCACUCCCCCACAAGCCUGCCUAUUGUGAUUUUUUUUUUUCGAGGGAAGGAAGUCACCCUUGCUUCUUCACUGCUUCACACCAGAAGUGUUGCAUAUCCCUUCUGUUCACGUACCUUCAGGAGAACUUGGCUCCACCCAGAAGCAAGUGGCAGGGUGGGAAAUG